rnacentral:rRNA from 1 species
AGUGAACGCUGGCGGCGUGCCUAAUACAUGCAAGUCGAACGGAGUGGAGCACGGGUGAGUAAUGUAUAGCUAAUCUGCCCUACACUAGAGGACAACAGUUGGAAACGACUGCUAAUACUCUAUAGUGUAGGAUGAGGCUAUAUUGUAUCAGCUAGUUGGUGAGCGAAUGGCUGACCAAUGCUAGGACGAAUAACUGGUCUGAGAGGAUGAUCAGUCAAAUGGGAACUGAGACACGGUGCAGCAUCCUACGGGAGGCAGCAGUAGGGAAUAUUGCUCAAUGGGGGAAACCCUGAAGCAGCAACGCCGCGUGGAGGAUGACACUUUUCGGAGCGUAAACUCCUUUUGUUAGGGAAGCGGUACCUAACGAAUAAGCACCGGCUAACUCCGUGCCAGCAGCCGCGGUAAUUC